ensembl:lncRNA
AACGCAACACCCUGCUACAACUAAACUCUCUGUGAAGCGAAAAGGUAUGGACUGUAGGUGCGAGUAAAAAUGACAACAAGCAGAAUGUGGUACCGAUUACAAGGACUUUAUUCCUUUACACGGUAAUAUGGGGGAAAAGGGGCUGGACAGAACCAAAGCAAAGAAAGUAAAUCUCAAAGCCCCCCUCUCUAUCUUACCUGCCUACCCACUACUUACCUAAUUUAGCACCACCUGGUGCCCUAACCAAAAUACAAGGGGUGGUCCGCCCAGGUCUUACCUAGUGUGCCUAGACAGCGAAUAUGCUACGGGUAUAUGUAUGCCCGCGGGCCUCUUGCCUAAGCACUCCCUAGGUGCCUUCCCCUUCCCCCCUGGGAACAAAUGAAACAGAAUAUUAAACAAUUUCACAAACAAACUAAGAGACAAAGGACAUCAAAUAAGUUCUAUCUGAGCAACAAACUCACAAAACAUACCAACUCUCAGCAAUGAACUCCCAGCAAAAUCAACCUCUAGCAAAAUCCUCUACAAAAUAUCUCUCUAGCAAAUUUACCUCCAGCAAAAUCCUCUACAAAAAAAGAGAAUCUUUUUUUCUGAACAGAACACUGGUUUUUAUAUAGCUUCUGAAGGAAUGGGUAAUUGGAGACAGCUGUGUCUUGACGAGGGGGCGGGGUCAGCUCUCCAAUUAGCCCUGGAGUCGACCAAUCAGCUGCUUGAGGGAUUUCAGGAAGCCAUUUCCUGAAAUAAACACAUGCAAAUACACAAACUACAACACAUAAUCUGGGGAACGUAACAAUGUCAUUAUUAUUAUUGCAGUGAGAUAGUCAAGGUAAAACAGUGUUUUGUUUUUCUUACAUAGGAAUUCACUCAUGGACCUGGUAUCUUAAUGUGAGUCAUGUAGUUGUGACUCAACAGAAAAAUAAUAACAGUUAUAAAAUUACAACAAAAAUUCAACUGUAAUUUAAAUAUUCCAAAGAUUUUCAAAACAUAUUUCAGUGCUGCUGUUAGAUUCAUAUCAACCAUUUAGGUGUUUGGCCUUUUGCGAUUAGUUUCGGAUGAUUUUGGCUUUGUUUUUUGUUUAUUACAUACAAUGUUUGUUCUUCGUGAUUAUUCUGAAGGUGCUCCAUAGAUUGCCAAGCCGAUAUAAUGGACAUUGUUUUAGAGGCAGAUGUACUACUGUGAUGUUGUUCACUACAGUUAGCUAGGUAGGUAGAUAUAUAGGCGGAUAGAUAUAAUUCUACAUUGAUUGUACACUAAAUACAGUUGUACAUUUGAUAUAGUCUAUUAUUAGAUGUAUUUUAAGGUGUGUAUAAUGUCUGCUGUUAACACCUCUGUAGCGGCUGAUGUCAGUGCAGUUGUACAUUUGUUCAUGAAUGGCUAGAUAAAUAGGUAGGUAGAUAAAUAGGUAGGUAGGUAGCUAGAUAUUGUAGGUAGGUAGCUAGAUAAAUAGGUAGGUAGCUAAAUAGGUAGGUAGGUAGGUAGGUAGAUAUUGUAGGUAGGUAGCUAGAUAUUGUAGGUAGGUAGCUAGAUAUUGUAGGUAGGUGGGUAGAAAUUGUAAGUAGGUAGUUAGAUAUUGUAGGUAGGUAGAUAUUGUAGGUAGGUAGUUAGAUAUACUAGGUAGGAAGUUAGAUAUUGUAGGUAGGUAGUCAGAUACUGUAGGUAGGUAGGUAGAUAUUGUAGGUAGGUAUGUAGAUAUUGUAAGUAGGUAUGUAUAUAUCUUCUAGGUAGGUAGAUAUAUACAUAUUGCAGGUAAGUAGUACUCUAGGUAGAUAGAUAUUGUAGAUAGGUAGGUACUCUAGGUAGAUAGAUAUUGUAGAUAGGUAGGUACUCUAGGUAGAUAGAUAUUGUAGAUAGGUAGGUACUCUAGGUAGAUAUAUAUUGUAGGUAGAUAGGUACUCUAGGUAGAUAUAUAUUGUAGGUAGAUAGGUACUCUAGGUAGAUAGAUAUUGUAGAUAGGUAGGUACUCUAGGUAGAUAGAUAUUGUAGAUAGGUAGGUACUCUAGGUAGAUAUAUAUUGUAGGUAGAUAGGUACUCUAGGUAGAUAGAUAUUAUAGGUAGAUAGGUAUUUUUGUAGUUUGAUGUUUACAAAUUAUAACGUCUACAUUUUGGAAUAGAAACAACAAGCCACUGAGAUGCUCAUCUCUUCUGCAGAAAACCUGCAUUGACUUAACUUAGCGUCCCGUCAACCUCACGAUAUUGGUUUAACUUCACAUCUGCUGAUGACACAUCCUGAAAGACAACCAGCUGGUUUUCCUCGGCGUGACAUCAUCAAACUGCAACAUACUCGGCUCGACCUCGAAAACACAGUGAUGAUUAGGUUGUCUGUCCUGCUACUGUACGACAGCGAAGUGAAAUGUAUUUAUUAAUUUGUUUCUUUAAUUUUUUGGGGGGGAGAGGGGACCUAUUUAUAUUUCGCAGAUUAAUUUGCUAGUGCAACCACUCUUUGGGUUCUUCACAGGUAAACAUAGAUCAACCGAUCAAUCCCCAAAGAAAGAACUAUGGCAGGUACUGUGGCAAAUUGACGAAUACGUUUAUAAAGCUACCAGCGAACUGUUAAAAAAAAAAAAUCUUAUUUCCAAAAGUUUGACUCUUCUAUACCUUAAAACAUCUGACCUGGCUAAAGGUUAGGAUGCCCCGGUGACUGGAAACACAAUGUAUUCUCCUUCAACAAAUACAACACUGGUAUGUAUCAAUAAACUGUUGCUUCAUUGAAAAUGCAUCUGAAUACAACAUUAUUUCAGCACAAGAUUGAUGGGAAUAAACACAGAUCUAUAUGAGCCAGGCUUCACCUCACCUUGCCCCCCGAGACAUACACUAUUACACACAUCACAUACAGUAAAGAAUAGGAAGGAGUAUAGGCUGGAGAUUAGGAAGGAGUAUAGGCUGGAGAUUAGGAAGUAUAGGCUGGAGAUUAGGAAGGAGUAUAGGCUGGAGAUUAGGAAGGAGUAUAGGCUGGAGAUUAGGAAGUAUAGGCUGGAGAUUAGGAAGGAGUAUAGGCUGGAGAUUAGGAAGGAGUAUAGGCUGGAGAUUAGGAAGGAAUAUAGGCUGGAGAUUAGGAAGGAGUAUAGGCUGGAGAUUAGGAAGGAGUAUAGGCUGGAGAUUAGGAAGGAGUAUAGGCUGGAGAUUAGGAAGGAGUAUAGGCUGGAGAUUAGGAAGGAGUAUAGGCUGGAGAUUAGGAAGGAGUAUAGGAAGGAGUAAAGGAAGGAGGAUAGGAAGGAUGGUUCAAGCCCUGAAUGCUGAUUGGCUGGCAGCCGUGGUAUGUCAGACCAGGUAUGACAAAAUGUAUUUUUACUGCUUGAAUUACGUUGGUAAUAUUAAUAAGGUACCUCGGGGGUGUGUGGUAUAUGGCCAAUAUAACACGGCUAAGGGCUGUAUCCAGGCACUCCACAUUGCGUUGUGCGUAAGAACAGCCCUUUAGCCGUGGUAUAUUGCCAUAUACCACAAACCCCCGAGGUGCCUUAUUGCUUAAGUAUAGGCUGGAGUUUCUAGUUAGGUGAAAUUAGAUCUAAAUUUACCUCUGGAUGACAGAAAGAGAAGACGACCUUCAUGCUGGAUCAGAGCCUGUCCCCUAUUCACCCACACCCCUAUCCAAAGUCAAAAGCAUUAUCUAUCUGCCUGAGUAGAAUGGAGUCAGUAGGGUAUCUGUAAGCAGAUUGUGUUCAUUACCUAGAGUAGUUAUUGAUUUUGGUAUCAGGGUUGGUUCCUCUACAGUCAAUGGAAGGCAGGGGAAGUAAAUCAAUCCUUGAAGAAGCACUAGAGGAUUCCGGUACAGCAGGGCCUAUACAGCUGACUGGUGGACAGACAUGUCUGCUUCAGAGAACAGGAGGGCUGCAUAUAACCCAUCACAUCACAAAUAACCAAGGCAGUAAAUGACUAAGGCAGUAAAUAACCAAGGCAGUAAAUGACCAAGGAAGUAAAUGAACAAGGCAGUAAAUGACCAAGGCAGUAAAUGAACAAGGCAGUAAAUGAACAAGGCAGUAAAUAACCAAGGCAGUAAAUGACUAAGGCAGUAAAUGAUUAAGGCAGUAAAUAACCAAGGCAGUAAAUGACCAAGGCAGUAAAUAACCAAGGCAGUAAAUAACAAAGGCAGUAAAUGACCAAGGCAUUUAAUAUUUUCCAGAUAAAACUACAUAACCCCUUUUUUCCCACUUGACUAACAAUGUAUCAGGUGUGUAUUCCUCUAAAUAUCCACCAUCUCCUCAUAUGAUGACAAUGAAAUUCAUAGUCAACCAUUUAAAAAGACUAGACCUACUGAUGUGACAAAGACUACAACAUGAAAAGACACAAACUCAUCCUCACUUGACUCAGCAAUGUACAGAGCCAUUUAUUUUCUCAAAGAAGUCCUUUCGGAAGAUGAAUUAUCAUGCCCUGUUUUCCUGUUUAAAGCUUUAGCCAAUGGUGGCCGGGCUGUUCUCCUGUUUAAAGCUUUAGCCAAUGGUGGCCGGGCUGUUCUCCUGUUAAAAGCUUUAGCCAAUGGUGGCCGGGCUGUUCUCCUGUUAAAAGCUUUAGCCAAUGGUGGCCGGGCUGUUCUCCUGUUAAAAGCUUUAGCCAAUGGUGGCCGGGCUGUUCUCCUGUUUAAAGCUUUAGCCAAUGGUGGCCGGGCUGUUCUCCUGUUAAAAGCUUUAGCCAAUGGUGGCCGGGCUGUUCUCC